AUUGAACGCUGGCGGCAUGCCUUACACAUGCAAGUCGAACGGCAGCACGGGGGCAACCCUGGUGGCGAGUGGCGAACGGGUGAGUAAUACAUCGGAACGUGUCCUGUAGUGGGGGAUAGCCCGGCGAAAGCCGGAUUAAUACCGCAUACGCUCUACGGAGGAAAGGGGGGGAUCUUAGGACCUCCCGCUACAGGGGCGGCCGAUGGCAGAUUAGCUAGUUGGUGGGGUAAAGGCCUACCAAGGCGACGAUCUGUAGCUGGUCUGAGAGGACGACCAGCCACACUGGGACUGAGACACGGCCCAGACUCCUACGGGAGGCAGCAGUGGGGAAUUUUGGACAAUGGGGGCAACCCUGAUCCAGCAAUGCCGCGUGUGUGAAGAAGGCCUUCGGGUUGUAAAGCACUUUUGUCCGGAAAGAAAACGCCGUGGUUAAUACCCGUGGCGGAUGACG
rnacentral:rRNA from 2 species